AGGUUGUAUAAAAUAAACUGACAACACAGAAGUUAUUUUGGCCUUGUGUUCCAUAGUGACUCACCAAAUAUACCCUGAAGUGUUUAUUUUAUUUUUUUCUAUUUCACUGUUAAAGCGAGCAGAUGCAUUUCACAUCACAUGGAUCUCGUGGAAACAUGCCAACCAUUUUCUUAGCAACCAAACUCCUGUCUUCUGCACUGUGCAUGAUUAACUACAACAGCCUGUUGACGGCUUAAAAUAAACCUGCCUUUUUCCAUUUAGCAUUUUAUCAAAUGAAUGUAAUUUCAUUUGCUGAUGAAUUUAGUUCAGCUUCAAGGGAAUUUUUCUCUUCUUCAUGGGGAGGCUGAAGAAUCAGAACUGUCAUGCCAAAGAAAGAAAAGCAAGCCUAGGGAGAAAAACAGUCUGAUGUUUACAUGGGCUGCCUGUUCCUGGGAGCAGCAAAGUCCUUCUGUGGGCGACCGCAACCUCCGCGUGGGUCCAUAAUGACAAGGUGACUUCAAAGAUGGCAGAUUAUAGGGGCAGAUCUGCAUGCUGUAUCUGACUGACACUCAACCAGGGAUACCAGAAGGGUUAACUGGCAAUUCUGUGACUCGAGAACAAUUUAAACAGCUAAUCAGAUCCACAAAGCAAGUAUCCAUAACUGAACCAAAAGACUUCCGCACAGCACAUCAGGACACCUGAGGGAGCCAUCCAUUUCUGCGC